AUGUCGUUAACGUCCUCCCAUUACAAAAAGCAGCCUCAGAAGUUCAGUCUUCAUUAUGAGAGCAUCGAUAUGGUGGUUGAGAUUUGCAUCACAUUUGUUCUCUCAGCUUUGUGGUUUCAAGUUCAUUGCCAGGAUGUGACCCAACAACCUGCCAUCAGCUGGAGUUAUGAGUCCAAAUCUGCCCAGAUGAACUGCAGACACAACAAAGAUGUCAGUUAUAACCAGAUGUACUGGUACAGGCAGCGUCCAGGGGAGACCAUGACCCUCAUUGUGUACACAGCUUUGGGAGGAAAUCCAGACUAUGGAGAUCAUCCUCAAACCAAAUAUUCAGCCGUCAAAGAUGACGCACAGACCGGGGCUCUCACUGUGAAAGACCUGAAGCCUCAGGACAGCGGUUUGUAUCUCUGUGCCAACAGCAAACACAGUGAUGUGAGAAGCUGA